rnacentral:rRNA from 1 species
AACCUCCGCAAUGUGAGAAAUCGCGACGGGGGGAUCCCAAGUGCCAUUCUUAACGGGAUGGCUUUUCAUUAGUGUAAAGAGCUUUUGGAAUAAGAGCUGGGCAAGACCGGUGCCAGCCGCCGCGGUAACACCGGCAGCUCUAGUGGUAACAAUUUUUAUUGGGCCUAAAGCGUCCGUAGCCGGUUUAAUAAGUCUCUGGUGAAAUCCUGUAGCUUAACUGUGGGAAUUGCUGGAGAUACUAUUAGACUUGAGACCGGGAGAGGUUAGAGGUACUCCCAGGGUAGAGGUGAAAUUCUGUAAUCCUGGGAGGACCGCCUGUUGCGAAGGCGUCUAACUGGAACGGUUCUGACGGUGAGGGACGAAAGUUAGGGGCGCGAACCGGAUUAGAUACCCGGGUAGUCCUAACUGUAAACGAUGCGGACUUGGUGUCGGGGUGGCUUUGAGCUGCUCCAGUGCCGAAGGGAAGCUGUUAAGUCCGCCGCCUGGGAAGUACGGUCGCAAGACUGAAACUUAAAGGAAGU